UUGACCAUUAUGCUUCAUUUGUACUUACUGAUACAAGAUAUUAUCUAUACAUGACACAACAAUGUUUAUGAUACUUUACCGGCAAGCAAAUACUUAAUUAGUUUUUCAUCGGCCCAUAAGUUUCAGUUGUUUACAAAAAAAUCGGCCAAUGGCCGACAAAGAGCCACAUACAUCAAUCAUCAUUACUCGGCUAAUAAAGCUUUCAGAGCUCCCAAGGUUCAACCAGUGUCCUGAGGGUCAUUCUCAAGUUGCAAAUGCGCGUUUGGUAAUACUUUUUUGUUUGCCUUCAUAAUUGUCUUCUCUAGUCCAUUUCGCAGCCAUCGCUUGGCCGACCCAAUCUUACAAGUUAUAGAGCAUCAUUGGUUAGCACAUCAUGUUUCUCAGUGUACAUCAAGUUUCUCGUUAUUCGGCGCUAUUCGCCGAAAACCAAGAAACUUGGGGGGGGCAAAGGCAUAUUACAUGCAUAUGAGCCAAGAUAUUGUCGUUCAAAAAAAAAAAAAAAAAAAAGGAUCAAAGAGGGAAACGGGUUGUUGGCUGCCAACUUUUCAUUUUGUGUUGGCUGCCAACUUUCAUUUUUGAGUUGGCUGUCACUUUCUUUUUGUGUUGGCUGCCAACUUUUCAUUUUGUGUUGGCUGCCAACUUUCAUUUUGUGUUGGCUGCCAACUUUCAUUUUUGAGUUGGCUGUCACUUUCUUUUUGUGUUGGCUGCCAACUUUCAUUUUGUGUUGGCUGCCAACUUUUCAUUUUGUGUUGGCUGCCAACUUUCAUUUUUGAGUUGGCUGUCACUUUUUUUUUGUGUUGGCUGCCAACUUUCAUUUUGUGUUGGCUGCCAACUUUUCAUUUUGUGUUGGCUGCCAACUUUUCAUUUUGUGUUGGCUGCCAACUUUCUUUUUGUGUUGGCUCCCUUUCUUUUAAGUUGGCUGACUUGAAUUUCCUCAUGCAUGUUGGCCAACUUAAAAAUGUGAACUCCCUUGUUGGCUUACUCUUCCUCACUUGGGCUCAUUGGCCAACCUAAGGUUUUUCAUGUGUUGGCUUACUCCUCCUUACUUUGGCGAACUUGAAAAUUAUUGGCCAACUUGAACUUUUUCAUGUGUUGGCUUACUCAAAAUAGAUUGCUUGUUGGCUUACACUUCCUCACUUUGGCCAACUUGAAAAUUGAUUCCCUUGAUGGCUUACUCUCUUUUGUUGGCUAACUUGGAUUUUCUUACUCAUUGGCCAACCUGAGAUUUUUCAUGUGUUGGCUUACUCCUCCUUACUUUGGCCAACUUGAAAAUUGUUGGCCAAGUUGAACUUUUUCAUUUGUUGGCUUACCUAAAAUAGUUUUGUUGGCUUCCUUGAAAUUUUUCAUGUGUUGGCUCCCACUAGCCACUCAAUUCCUGGCCAACUUAAGGUUUUUCAUGUGUUGGCCAACAUGAGCUACAAAUUGGCUUUCCAGUGAUAUGUUUUGUUUGUUGGCUGAUAUUUAGCAUUUUUCACUUGUUGGCUUCCAUGAGCCACUCUCUCUUGUUGGCCAACUCCAAUUCUAUCAAUCGACUAAACUCGAGUAAGUUAUUUGUUGGCCUUCAUUAGCCGAUUUGCCUCUUCAUUCUUCUGUUGGCCGAUUUGAUUAAUGUUUAUUGGCUUACAUGCAUCCAUUGAGUUGUUGGCCACCAUGAGGCAUAUUCACUUGUUGUCCUACUCAAACUUGUUUAUUGGCUUACUCACAAACCGCUCACUUCGAAUAUCAUUUUGUUCAGUUACUUGCUUAGGCCAAUUUAGUCGAUUUUCCGAAAUAUCAUUCGACCAAGAAAAUACAUUCUAGCCAUCAGGGAGGUCAUGUGGGACAUAUUUACAUGAGUUUUCGGAAGUCGAUUAGGGGGCCAAGUUGACUCAAAUUUCUCAACCACUCGGCGACAUUCACCGAUGCUUAAGAAACUUGGGGGGGCAAUGUUUGUACCCACAUUUGCAUGUCCACUCAGACAUAGCUAAUGUGCAUAGUUAGAUUGAUUUCUAAUUACAAUGAGCCGCUCAAAAGGUAAUUGGGGGCCGAUAGAUAGAAAUAUUGGCCAAUGAAUAAUUGGACAAUUCAUUUUGGUCCAAGACAAGUCACAUAAAAACUAAGGCCAAUGGGAAGUUUCGAAAGUUAGGCCAUUGGUUAUCGGCCGGCCCGUAGUCGUCAAUUUAAAAAGAGACUUAUUGUCUAAAAUAUCAUCGGCCGAUUGUUCAAAUCCCUCUAGUCAGUUUCCAACUCGAACUCAACUUAGAAAGAUAAUAGCCGAUGUAGUUAGUAGUUCAAUCAAAUUGAAGUUCGUUAGCCGAUGAAGAGAGUUCAAUCCAAGGUAGUCUACUUCAAGAUUAAUUGCAGCCGUUGAUGAACACAUCAGAGUCGAUCCAGAUAGAGUCCAGCGUCAAGUCAGCCGACGAUAAGUAUUGGAGCCAAAUCAAGAUAGAGACACUGAGCUAAGAGGAAGCCGAAUUCCACUCAACUUCAAAGAGCCAAGAGAUCAGUUCAAGUCACAAAGCAGCCAAUAUAUAAAGAAGCAUCGACAGAAGACAAUACACACACAACUCCAGAAACUCAAGCCAUCAAGCUUUUCUUAUUUUCGUGUUACCUUUUGCUUAGACAAUUCAUAUUCACUCACACUCUCACAACCACACCCAAUUCACCCGACCUUCAGCCAUCAAGUCCUUGAUCCAAAGGCAGCGAACUAUCGGCCGAGAAUCAGUUCCUUCCUCGGCCAACAAUUGCUUGAUAAGUCAGAACUACAUCUACUACAACUACAAUUGCACACUUGGCCUUCUGGCCGUGUGCUGGCACGCCCCGCAAUCUACUCACCAAGAAGGACAUUUGUUCCUUGAUCUCUCGGCUUUCUAGCCGAGGUGAUUUUUAGAGGCAACACCACUCUAAUGAGUCCAUCAUGUGUUAUAUUAGGUAACACCAGACUGAGGCGUCUGAUUCCCUUGCAACUGUUAGUGAUAUCCACAAGGAGGAGAUCGGUGCCGAAGUUUUGGAGACUUAUAUCGACGACAUUGCCACGACCAAGAUCAACGGCGUGGCGGCACAUCGCUGCCAUCUUCCGUGCAUUCUUCUUCCAUGAUUUGGCCGCACAUGUCGAUGGUGCGCCACAUCAUCGGGUCCUUGCAGAUUCGGCGCCACGUCAUGCACACCUUCUGAGCUGUCUCCAGAAUCUCGAUCACUCCCAGCCGUGAUAAUAUCGAAGCGGUCAGGUCGUGUGGAAGGUCAAUCCAGUUCCGGCAGUUUUGUUCUUGGUUUCGGUCCAUUGAAUUCGACUUUGUGUGGAGUUUCUUAGGCAAAUUUUGUAGAAAGUCAAAAGAUUAUGAAAAUAUAUUUGAGAGAAAGAUUUUCUGAUAUCACAAAGAGGACAAUUAUAUACAGAAUUACAGAUACAAUCUUGUACCCUUAAUCUUAAUAAAACUCUACUUUAACCUA